GACGACGCAACGCCGCGUGGAGGAUGAAGGUCUUCGGAUUGUAAACUCCUGUUGCCAGGGACGAACGGCUCCGACCCAACACGUCGGAGAGUGACGGUACCUGGUGAGGAAGCCCCGGCUAACUCUGUGCCAGCAGCCGCGGUAAUACAGAGGGGGCUAGCGUUGUUCGGAAUUACUGGGCGUAAAGGGCGCGUAGGCGGCCUGCUAAGUCGAACGUGAAAUCCCCGGGCUCAACCCGGGAACUGCGUCCGAUACUGGUUGGCUUGAAUCCGGGAGAGGGAUGUGGAAUUCCAGGUGUAGCGGUGAAAUGCGUAGAUAUCUGGAGGAACACCGGUGGCGAAGGCGGCAUCCUGGACCGGCAUUGACGCUGAGGCGCGAAAGCCAGGGGAGCAAACGGGAUUAGAUACCCCGGUAGUCCUGGCCCUAAACGAUGAAUGCUUGGUGUGGCGGGUAUCGAUCCCUGCCGUGCCGAAGCUAACGCAUUAAGCAUUCCGCCUGGGGAGUACGGUCGCAAGGCUG
rnacentral:rRNA from 1 species